AAGUGUUUAGUAGGCUAAUUGAAAAAGUGUUUAGUAGGCUAACAAAAAAACUGUUACGGUGUUGAACUCUCGUUAGCCGUCGAUAUCGUUAAAAAAUAAUUUGUUUUAC
rnacentral:sRNA from 1 species